GAAAUUGUGUCACAGAAUCACAGAAUUGCAGGGAUUGAAAAGGACCUCAAGAGAUCAUAAAGUCCAAGCCCCUUCUAAAGCAGGUUCCCUACAGUAGAUCACACAGGCUGAGGAAGAGCAUGCUGGGCACUUGUACACUGAAAAUCCUUUUGAAUUUUCAGCAGUAACCAUAUUUCUAAAAAUUACACAAGUCUGCAUGCUUUUGUAUGUGUGACAUACUAUUAAUAGAAUAUCUCUGAUCGUGUCCUGUGACUCCAUUCCUGCUAAGAAGAAAUGAAACCCACAGACAGUUCUGUCCUACACACUCUGACCUCUCAAAGGACACAGAUGAGUCACAAGCUUAUGAUGUCUCGCUUCUGAACUGUCUGUUGUUCCAGCAAUUGCAUGGUUAAGAUAAUACAAAAAUAAUACUUGGUGCUGUUCUUCAUGUAUUUGCCAUCCUCCCACAACACCCUGAGGCUGCAAUGAAGAGAACUCUGAAGUGCCUACGGUAUCCAGAGAACAAGGAAACAAUGGAAAAGUCCAUAGCAGAUAUCAUGCAGAUGCUAUCCUGAGCAGCAAUACAUGUACCUCAUUGUUUUGCUUAGGGACACUCAGCAGCAGAUCAUUUCUCACUUCUUUUAGCUACAAACCCUACGUUGAUAAAGAUUUUGUGAAUGUCAAAUGUGCUGCGGUUGUUUCUCCCAGGGCUGCCAAACAUUCCAUCAACAAAUACUGGAAACGGAGUGGCUCUGCUAGGGACAAAAUACAGAAUCAAAUGCUGCAGAAAUCUGGCAGUCCUUUUCUGACUAGAGUCCUUCAUCUUCUGACAGAACUGAUGACUUGGCAGUGCGCUAGACAAUGUGCCAUAUCCCAUGUGAUGAAAGGACGCCAAGGAUCAUCCAUCUCGGUGACACCAGACCUCAUCCCACUGCUUCUAACCAGCUCACAGAAACUGGAGAUUCAACCAAUGGCUAUAUUUUAAUGCAAGUGAACUUGAGAAUAUUACAUAUAAUUUGGACAACUGCAGGGUAUAUGCUUACGUAAGAGAAAUCAAAGGAUUUGCACAAAUGAAUGGCUCAAUAAUCUCAGAGUUAAUUUAUAAUCUGUUAUUGCUUCUUAAAAUAAUUUACAUGCAAACCCAUUUGACAUCAGAUGUAACAGAGCAUAGAGGUCACCCUGGUGUACUUCUCUGUGUGGGUUCUGCUGGAACCCUCUCCUCGUUCUGCAGAAUAGUCCUGCCUUUGCUUUCAAGGGUCCUAUUAUGAAAUAAGUCUGUAGAGUUCAACACCGAAGUUGGUCUGUUUUGGAAGACUUGGAAGAGCUAUCGGCUAAGUAGACUGGUAUUAACAUGCCUUUCACACCUUUGGAACGUCUUAAAUAUUACACAGUAUUGAUGACGUUUUAUCUAUCAUGACUGGAACAGAAAAGAGAGAUCAAAAUAUCAGACUCCUGAUUACAACAGAGGCUUCAGAAUCAUAUGUCUGGUUGUGUAUCUGUCCCUCUAUUCAUAUAUUGUUUGAUCUAGGUAAACAAAAAGUCAUUCCACUUACCAUCAGAGUAAGACAUUUUGGGUAUAGUAACAAGAGUCAUAGUAGGAAUUGUUUAAGUAGGUCUUUUAGAAUUGCCCUUCUUGAAGGAAUCUCUUAUAGAGUAAGCGGAGGCAAAUGCUACACCAUAGAACCAAGGACUACGUGAUUCUGCAACAGAAACAGGAAGAUGAGAAACCAAGAAAUUAAUGACUAAUGGCUUAUCCAUACAGCAUGACAGACUGAAAGCCGGGAGAUUAUAUCAUAUCCACUUACAUCUGCCUUGUACAUGUCAAGGGAGCAUUACUCACCCCACUCCUGAUAGAUGCAGUAUAUGCUAUCAUUUUCUGAGAGCAAACAGAAGCAGAACACCACAUGCAUGAAUACUGUAAAAUAAAACACUUAUAGACACUCCCAUUUAUUUGCUUUGCUUGGUUUACAUGGAAUUAAUGAUUACAACCUGUGCUUGAAUGAUUUAUUAUCUAGAUUUAUAAAGGCUGUAACCUAAGAUGCUCUCACACUUUUCUCCUAAGACACUACUAUUUGUGGCUACUGUUGCAAUGAGUUCUGUCGCCAUCAGGUGCCAGUAAGGAGGUUAGCUCUAAGAAACUUUUAAGUUUCUGUAAGAAAUUACGUUGUUUAGCUUCUUAGACUUUUUCAUCAAGGAUUUUGCAGAGCUCUGUAAAACCCAUUUCCUCUUUCUUCUACCAAAAAAGAACAUGUCUAAAAUGUCAAGUCAUUCCAACAGACCAAUGAAGCCGUGUAAUCUUAAUCUCAAACCUGUAAAUUACAUGUACAAGUGAUGGGUUACCAAAUGACUACAUGUAAGAGUAAUGAACUAUUUUUUCCUUUUUUUUUUUUUUCCUGUGAUUAUUACUGUACAUCGAAACUCAGCAGAAGUCAUUACUUCUGCUUUGGUGAAAAUGUCACCAAAUGAUCUAAAUCUAAAUGAUUUAGAAUGUCUGUUUGCUUGCCAGAGAGUCCAUGUUCAUGAAAGAAUUCAUUGAAUGCUUCUCCAUCUCAAACAGAUUCGAGACUUCACAGAAUCACAGAAUAACAGGGGUUGGAAGGGACCUCAAGGGAUCAUCAAGUCCAACUCCCUGCUAAAGCAGCUUCUCUACAGCAGGUCACAUAGGUAGAUGUCCAGACGGGUUUUGAAUAUCUCCAUAGAAGGAGACUCCACAACCUCUCUGGACAGCCUGUUCCUGUGCUCUGUCACCCUCGGUAUUGAUCCAAUGCACUGCAGCUGCACAAAUGUGUUUCCUGUUGCAAGAAGGGGGUUAGCAUAUCUGUAGGGGCAAUGCAACCUUAUUUUGAAGGCUUAUUUAUUUAUAUAAAUUCUGUGAUGAGUUUCAAGCACAGCUAUAAAC
ensembl:lncRNA